CUGACGCAGAAACAGGCUGGCACUCAUUAACUAAUGCUGACUCCCGGGGAGAAAAUGCGGGUUUUAAAGACACGAACUCUGUUUUUAUAAAACCACCAGGACUGCAACAGAAGGUAAAUGUGGAAUCACAGAAGCAUUAAUGAAGUAACUAUCCCUGAACAGUCAGCAGUCAGAACCAAGCCUUCAGACUGACACAGCAGCAGCACGUAUCGGGGAAAGAAACGUUUUAGGUAGACUCCUAAGUGUGUGUCUGGUUAACUUGCAACCACACAGAGUGGCCGGGGCAAAGGUGUGUCUCAACCCUUUGAGGUGUACUUGGAACUCCACAGCUGGAGGAUUAGAAGUUGUUUGCUCACUCUGUUCAAAACAAGAGGUGUAAAGGAAGUUCAACAACCACCACCGAAAGAUGACUCGUCAUUUGUAACUGGCCCUGCUUGAAACGUUGGUGCCAUCAGAUGUUCAAGCUGCUUUGCGAAUGGGUCCCCGGACAGCAGAAUGGAGGAUGGAAUUCCUGAGGGAGAAAGCUGAGCCAGGGAGACCUGCCGCAGCACAUCCAGAUGAGACGAUGAAGGCUUGAGCCAGGACUGAGAUCGUAGCAAAGCCAGGUAAAUGCCACAAGUAGGACUUGGUUUUAUUGGUUAUUGGGUGAAGGGUUGGGGGAGAGAGAAUGAGAAUUCAAGGAUGACUGCUAGGUUUCUCGCCUGGAUGGAUGGUGGUACCACACACCAAGCUCAAAAUUAUAGAAGCUGGGUUGGAACGGAAGAUGAUGAGGUUGGUCUGGAACACGCUGAGUUUGAGGUGCCCGAUCCUGACAGGUAUUUAGGUAGAAGGUCCGGGAGGCAGUUCCAGAGGCCUUGGCUAACAUCGUCAGCAUCUAGUGGAUAGUUGAAACCUUGCAGGAGAGAUGGGCUCAGCUGGAGAGAGAAUGGAGGGAGCAGAUCAGUGCUUUAGGAGGGGACCUGGCAGUGCCAGCGCCCGAGUCUGGGGACGCAUCAGCUCCGGGCACCGGUUGCUGAGCAGCUCAAGGUGUCUGGUUGGACCAGGCUGCAGUGGGCAGGGAUGCAGUGACCCACCUGGCUUUGCAGGAGUGUGGGUUAUAGCGGGCCUCUUUUAGGGUUUGGACAUGUGUCCCAAUUCCAGUUCUAUUGCAGGGCUGGAGAGAAGGGUGGCCUUGGGGAGAAGAAAAGGGUCACAGUCCUCUCCUGGGUACAGGGGCUCUUCAAAAUGGGAGCAUUGAGACGUCGCUGAAACAUCAGUGAAGGUCCAGGCCAUUGGGCUCCAGGUCCUUAAGCAGAGGAAGUGGGGGAAUCACCUGCCAGGCUCUUGCACAUUGUGCACGUCUCCUCCUCCCAUGGGCUUCUCCCAUGACAUUCUGAGAAGCCACAGGCUCGUGACAGGCCUGGGAGUUGUCCCCUGGGGAGGUGGCAGUAGGGGUCGGUUUUGGAAAAGCCCCCCGGGGUGAUUCUGAUACAUCCUCACCUGAUGCAGAAUGUACCAUUUGCUGUCAGGGACUCAGUGCUAAUGGGGAGAAGGCUGGGGACCCUCCUUUGUAUUUAGUGCCCUGAAGUGAGCCGUUUUCCACCGGCAUUUCACAGUGUCCCCCUCAGACUAACGACAGCACAGUCUCACCAUUUAGAAUUCCCAGGUGUUCAUCCACACCGCAGGUGAGUGACUGUGCAAGCACCACUCUGUCACACCACGUAUUAGGAAGGUGAGGGACGGCACCCGAAGCCCUGGGGGUCUUUGUAGAAUUCCGUGAAACAUUGAUGUAUUUAUUUCUAUUACAUGAUCUAAGAACAAUUUUACGGGCAGAAAGUAUGACUGUGAUAUAUGUACAACCUAAAACUAUCAGCCACUGUCCAUGAAGAAAAACUCAAGCCGUCACACCAAAUCUAAGUGGCUAGUUCUGUGUUUUUCUGCUAAUAUUUAUUAGCUACAUUCAUUUGUUUUAUUGUAUCAGUGUUCACUGGCAGACAAGCAGGAGCAGAUGCCAAAGUUUUAACAAAAAUUUAAGAGACAGUUUUCAAUUGAAUCUAUUGAGGUUGGGAUGCCUUUAGGACACCAGUAAACGCUAUCACCCCUGAGCGCUGGUGACAACGGCGAUGGUUUAACUUACCUGUGGAACCCCCGA